UGGGGAUUUGAGCAAGGCAGUCAGACGAGGGAUUGCGCCAUGUUUAAUAACUACGUUUGUUUGCUCUGAUGUACCUGAAGCCACAUUGGUCAAAGCCCAGGCAGCCUCAAAUUGAAGAGCCGGACUGUAACAAUGCUUGUGAGGUGCCAUUAGAAUUGACAGUGGUAGGAUGUGUUUAGCUAAAUGCAGAAGAGUAAUAAACUGACUUGUGAUCAUGGCUAAGAAAUUCGACGCAACGUGGAACAAUGCCUUGGCGAAUCAGGGUAUCAAUCGGAGGCUUUUUCUCUCUGCUCAACAUCUUGCGACAGGCCUGCGUAGCCUGAAGUUGAGUAGGCUCAUCACUGGAAUUCAUUCCAGUAAUAAUUUCCUCAGUACUCAGGUUGAUUGGAACUGCUGUCUCAUUCUCCCCUGGGGGGCUCUGGGGCUCACACCCAACACUGAUGUUCCGACGUUUCAAUAACUGAUCAUCUCUUCUAGCCUUGCGCAGCUCAACCGAAACCUCGUUCCUCCUCCUUCUGACAUCCUUGAUUAAAUAGAUAACAAUUUGUACAGUUAUAAACUUGCCCGAUACGAGUAAAUAUCAAAAUAGAAGUCAA